rnacentral:rRNA from 2 species
UGGGGAAUAUUGGACAAUGGGCGAAAGCCUGAUCCAGCCAUGCCGCGUGAGUGAUGAAGGCCUUAGGGUUGUAAAGCUCUUUUGUCCGGGAAGAUAAUGACUGUACCGUAAGAAUAAGCCCCGGCUAACUUCGUGCCAGCAGCCGCGGUAAUACGAAGGGGGCUAGCGUUGUUCGGAAUCACUGGGCGUAAAGCGCACGUAGGCGGACCGUUAAGUCGGAGGUGAAAGCCUGGGGCUCAACCCCAGAACUGCCUUCGAUACUGGCGGUCUUGAGUAUGGUAGAGGUUGGCGGAACUCCGAGUGUAGAGGUGAAAUUCGUAGAUAUUCGGAAGAACACCAGUGGCGAAGGCGGCCAACUGGACCAUUACUGACGCUGAGGUGCGAAAGCGUGGGUAGCAAACA